GACGAACGCUGGCGGCGUGCUUAACACACGCAAGUCGAACGCUGAAGCCCUUUCGGGGGUGGAUGAGUAGCGAACGGGUGAGUAACACGUGGGUAAUCUGCCCUGCACUCUGGGAUAAGCCUUGGAAACGGGGUCUAAUACCGGAUAGGACACAUCGCCGCAUGGUGUGUGUGGAAAGUUCCGGCGGUGCAGGUUGAGCCCGCGGCCUAUCAGCUUGUUGGUGGGGUGAUGGCCUACCAAGGCGACGACGGGUAGCCGGCCUGAGAGGGUGACCGGCCACACUGGGACUGAGACACGGCCCAGACUCCUACGGGAGGCAGCAGUGGGGAAUCUUGCGCAAUGGGCGAAAGCCUGACGCAGCAACGCCGCGUGGGGGAUGACGGCCUUCGGGUUGUAAACCUCUUUCGACCGGGACGAAGGGUGACUGACGGUACCGGUAGAAGAAGCACCGGCUAACUACGUGCCAGCCGCCGCGGUAA
rnacentral:rRNA from 1 species